rnacentral:rRNA from 1 species
UACACAUGCAGUCGAGCGGACACGAUGUGUGAGCCUUGUAGCUCCUCUCUGGAUGUUAGCUGGCGGACGUGGUGAGUAACAAGUGGGUAACCUGCCUGUAAAACUGGGAUAACUCCGGGAAACCGGGGCUAAUACCGGAUGGUUGUUUGAACCGAUGGGUUCAAACCUAAAAGGUGGAUUCUGCUACCUCUUACAGAUGGACCCGCCGCGCUGUAACUAGUUGGUUAGGUAAGUGAUGACCAACGAAAGCAUGCAUACCCAACCUGACAGGGUGAACGACCACACUGGGACUGACACACAGCCCAUACUCCUUCCGGAGGCAGCAAUAAGGAAUCUUCCGCGAUGGACGAAAGUCUGACUGAUCCACCCCUCCUGAGUGAUGAAGGUUUUCCGAUCGGUUAGCUCUGUUGUUAGGGAAUAACGAAUGCCGUUCAAAUAAGGCGGUACCUUGACGGUACCUAACCAGAAAGCCACGGCUAACUACUUGCCACCAGCCGCGGUAAUACGUAGGUGGCAACCGUUGUCCGGAAUUAUUGGGCGUCAAGGGCUCGCAGGCGGUUUCUUAAGUCUGAUGUGAAAGCCGCCGGCUGACCGGGGAGGAUCAUUGGAAACUGCUGAACUUCAAUGCCCAAGAGGAGAGUGGAAUUCCUCUUGUAGCGGUGAAAUGCGUAGAGACCUGCAGGA